CACUCUGCAGGCCUCCUAGCGCCAGCGACCACAAGGGCACCGCCCCGCCCCGCCUUUCCAUGACGCAGCGCGUGGAGGGCGGGGCGGAGUACGGGAGCGGGGAGGAGCACGCUGAGGAGCACGGAGAGGAGCAGGAUUUCAUUUGUAAGCCUGAGCACUGAGGGUUCCAGCGACUCGCCUGAAGGUACAUAGGUGGAACCAGAGUCCAGCUCUGCCAGUGUCACUGGGCUUCCCCACUGAUCAUGGCACCCAGCCUCCAGAUCUCCACCAUUCAUACCCAUGGACCAGCAUCCCCCAAGGCAGCAGAAUACUGAACCCAGAAUCAGCUAAUUUGAAGGUCCCCACAGUACAAGAGAUUGAAUCCAGCGGUGCUCUGCCACUGAAUUUAGCCCUUUUUAACACUCACUAGGUUGCCCCAGGCUGGUCUUGAAUAUGCAAUCCUUCUGCCUAUCCUCCUGAGAUGUUGGGAUUACAAGCAUGUGCCACUGGGCCCUGCUGUUGCUAAUAAAUUUUAAGACACCACAGAGAAUAUGAGAAGGGUCAGAAUGUUAAAGAUGGGUAAAUAUUUGCCUAAUGUUCUGUCAAACUGGAUUCUGGUAGAUUGGCAAACGUAGGGCAUGAUUAUACAACAAGUGAUUUGUGAGCACUUACAGGGAAAGGUAGA